AUCCAGAAGAUCUCUGCUGUACGAAAUUUCUCUAGAGAUUCAGAAGUUGUCAGUAAUUGGUAGAAAGACACUAAUUUAUUCUCUAAUAUGUGGUGUCUUCUGGAGUGAGAAAUACCUUAUAUUUAACAGAAGCAAAACUUAGCUAAAAGCUGGAAGGACAGGGAGAGGAGGAUUCCAGUUGAACCACAAAUUGACAACAAGUCUGUGGUGAAAGUUACGAGACUUUAAAGGACAUAUAAUCUGCUGUGCUUUUCAAAACCCCCAAAUAGCUUUUAAGACCUGUCUGUAGGAUUCUGCUGUGGACGUGCAUGGAAACUCCACUGAGUUAUCAAUGUUGCUGUUUGUCUUGAAACUGCAGAUUUUCCAUAAAAGAAAACCUGGUUUUGUCAAGGCCUGAGCCAAGCCAUACAAACAGCAUACGAAGACCAGACUGCGUAAGUCCACCAAGAGCUGACAUUUGUUAUUUGCUGCGAAAUUGGGUGAGUUCUUAUCAAAAGGCAGAAACCAGCACUUGUGGGACACUCAUGAGAGCAAGACCGUCUGCUUAGCUGAAGCAUUUACUGAAGAAGUGCUUGUAACUGUUGGUAGGCAACUCGCCGCUGUGGUUGCUUCCUUUUGGAGCCUCUUCCCACCACCACGCCGGACAAGAAAACAGCAAAAAGAGGAGCCCCAAGUGUGAAACUAGCCUCGAGACUUCUGUAAUUCCUAAACAAGAAAGUGGCAGGGAUCUUACAAACCAUUUAUUCAUCUCUCACAGCGCUCCUACAUGUGUGGCAGCAAGCAGAGCCUGCGAAGGGUUUUUCUGUCAUGCUGACAAGAGUCACAAGAAAUCUGGGGAGGCGCAAACAACGUCAAGAGCAGGGCAGGACCUUCUUCCAAGCCCAGCCUGGGCAGGCACGUGAAGGAGGAGGAACAGGCAUCUGGUGACCCAAGCAAUUGCUUAAUGUGGUUCCCCAGAAAAGCAUCAGCGACUGUAUGGACAGGAACUUGCCAACAGUUCCACCAGACCAUGCUGGACUGGCACAGCAGGGAACAAAGUGAAGAAUGAUUCAAGCUGGAUCUGCUUUCUGUAUCUGUGGGUCUCCUGGCAGAUGCACAGGAAUAACCAUUCACAACUACCAAAAAGAACGUCAUUUUGCUAUGGAUGCUGCAAAUCACGCAAGUGACUUCGCUGUCCUUACCCUGUUAGGGAGAGGCAUCUGAAUUUUCUGUUUUUCAACAGCAAGUUCAUUUCAAAAUCUCUAAUUACAAAAAUAUAUAAAAAUGUAUUAGCCAGCAGAUUUACAUUUGAAAAAUACAGCACUUUAAUUACAGAGAUACCUAAUUCUCAAUGUUUAAGGGAAUGUGAUUACUGCAAUUUCUUCAUUAGGUUAUAGUUUCACUAUUUAAGAAGACAUUAUUUGAAAGGCACGGUGUUAUCUGUUUAUUCUACACUGUUAAAACCCCAGCAAAACAUAAGCAAACACUUGAAUACUCUCUUCCUAGCAACCAAGGUCUUUCAUCAGAAAAGCAGCAUAUUUGCCUUUUUUCUGUAUCUUGUAUUAAGCCAAAUUUCUAGUUUGCAACCCUUUGGGCCAUUCAAUAACCAUCAAAUUCCUGGAAUAUAAUUUUAGGUGAAAGUCUAAGCUAAUGACUAAGCCAUCUCUUUGUUCAUUUUCUAAAAAAAAAAAAUUAAUUGAGCUUUUUUCCAAAAACACCACAUGAGUAACAAGAGUGCCCUCAGCUUUAAUGUUACAGGAAAACCAUCAAGCUAUCCAAAAUGACUUUGGGCCAAAAUUCCACAUUGGAUAUAUCCGAAUCCCUAUUUGAAUGCCUGUGUCACCACUAUUUACAUGUAACACUAUGGUCAUAGGGCCAGAUUUUCAGAAUUGUGUGUAUCCCUUACUUCCACUGACAGAAAUAUCAAGAAAUUAAUUUUAGGCACUAAGCUUCUUUAUAUUUACUAACCUGCUGCGUGACUUAACUCUUCAAAUUACCAGCAGCAUUUUACGAAGUGCUGAGUUUCUGCAAUUCCCACUGGAGCGAGUACAAAAUACAGAUAUUGAGUACUCCCUUGGGAUUUAGCUCUGUCUUUAAAGGCUGGGACAGCGGUGAUGUUUUUACUGAAGAAACUGUUUUUUUGGAUCUCUUAAGACCUUUGCAGGAUGCUGGGAAUCCAAAAAAAAACCAAACCCCAAAACAGCCAAACCAGAAAAUACUUACACUAACAGAAUCCUCUCCUUCUCUACCUCCCUUCUUUUCUUACAUAAGGGUAGGUUCUCCUUUCUUUCUUUUCUUAUCUGAGGGAGACCUAUGGUCUCCUUGCUAACUCUUCAAGAAAAACAGAGAAGCAACGAAAUCUGUCUUCCACGGAAAAGAUGAAAGCUAGCUAAGUGAGAGGAUGUGUCCUUCUCGACACUUACAGUGUGGUCAAAGAGCCAGCUCCCUCUCUUUUCCCAAAAGAGUUCGCAGACAACUGUCCAGAAAAGUACACGGUCUCCCCAGCAGUUCUUCUAACAGCAGGAUAUACUGCAGCACUCUGGACUGCUGCUGCCGUGUCAUUUCAGUGCCUCUGAGGUCAGCUGAGUGUAAUAAAUUAACAAACACUGUUCCCAGGCAAAGCAAAAUGUCUGCAAACAGAAUGGCGUAGCAUAACAAUGGGAUACGAGGGGUAGAUACAUGCCUAAAUAUUAAAUGAUUGAAAGGAGCGGGGAGCAUUGACAUGAUUCUGACUUACGUGCCUUAGUGCCAAAUGUACGUUAUCACACAGAUCUCCCAGCAGAUUAUGUGUCUGUUCACCACCACUUCACAUUUUCAUCGCUUAUUUCAGUAUUUUUGCAUUUGUUUCACCCUUAAUAAUUUAUUUAUGAGCUUAGGAUUAUUAACAAUUUGAAGCUUCAUUACAAACUAUCCUGGGGGAAUCUCACCUGCCUCAUCCCAUUAAAUUAUUAUUCCCAAAUAUCUAAUUUACAUUUAAUAAGACAUCAAUUGAACAUCAAUAAAAUAAUAAUAAAUUAAUAAACUACAGCUUCCUAGAAAUAUUAGUAGCUUAAAUAUAUAAGCAAACACAGUGCACAGUCUGCAGGUCAGCUGUCAAAUCUCUCUGAGAACAUUUGUCGGAAUCAUUUAGUAGUCUGAAUAUGACAAUAGGCCAUAAAAAUAUUUAAUUGCUACGGUCUUCAACUCAUCCUUGUGAUAAUUGUGAACCAUACCAACCUGUGAACCUGUAAGGCAGAGCUAGGAAGUACCCAAGUGUUCUAUGUAAGUAAGGAGGCCAUCUCAAAACACCAUAAAUGCCUAAGGGACUCCAUGUUUCCAUGGAAUGAAAUGGCAAAAGAAUUUUGGUUUGGGUAAAUACUUAUUUUUUUUACUUUAACAUGAUCUCUUAAACUGAAAUGCUUUAUUUUUCUACACAGAAAGUUAAAAUACUUCUUUAUUUUAACCGACUUAAACGUCUG